rnacentral:rRNA from 2 species
AUACCGGCAGCACGAGUGAUGGCCGCUCUUAUUGGGCCUAAAGCGUCCGUAGCCGGCCAGUCAAGUCCGUUGGGAAAUCGGCGCGCCUAACGCGUCGGCGUCCAGCGGAAACUGACUGGCUUGGGGCCGGAAGACCUGAGGGGUACGUCCGGGGUAGGAGUGAAAUCCUGUAAUCCUGGACGGACCACCGGUGGCGAAAGCGCCUCAGGAAGACGGACCCGACGGUGAGGGACGAAAGCUAGGGUCUCGAACCGGAUUAGAUACCCGGGUAGUCCUAGCUGUAAACGAUGCUCGCUAGGUGUGGCGCAGGCUACGAGCCUGCGCUGUGCCGUAGGGAAGCCGUGAAGCGAGCCGCCUGGGAAGUACGUCUGCAAGGAUGAA